rnacentral:lncRNA from 1 species
GAAAAGAAACUACAAAAAGUAUCUUGUAGAGAGGGCGAAACAAAAGCUUGGAGAAGCUUCAAGUACAUUCAUGAUCAGUCUCCAUUUGUUAUACUCUUAUGAUAACACAUGGAUAUUGGAUACCGGUAGUGUUUAUCAUAUUUGUAAUUCGUUGCAUGUUCUGGUAAGACCUGAGAGAUUGACGAGAGACGAGAUGAACCUCAAGAUGGACAAUGAAACAAAAAUUAGUGUAGUAGUUAUUGGCAAGGUCACCCUACAUCUGUCUGGUGGUCGCAUGAGGGUCUACAACCAUCUCUUGCAAUCUUUACAAGAGGGUUCCCUACCCCACCUUCAUUGAUUGUUGUGAAGGGGUUGCCUUUUCCUCCCUAGCAUGGUCUUCUAGCAUCUCUUGCCCAUACACAUUGUUGCUCAUGAAAGCUAUACCUUUUGUUGCAUAUGACAAUUACAUCUCCAUCGUUGGGCAAGUCGCUAGAGAGAGGUGAUUGACACUACGGAGGGGAACAAUUGAGUAGACGGAAGGCAAUAGCCAAUGAGAGUAGAAUGAUUAUUUACGAACAAAACAUCAUAAAAAAUUUUCAAAGGUGCUAUUUAAAAAUCUUUUAAACUUAAGAAUAUUUUUUUAAAAAUUUGCAUAUAUAUAUAUAUAUAUAUAUAUAUAUAAGAUGGUUUAUAUAUAUAUAUUGCAUGGUUUCAUUUAUUGUAAGAUGUUGGCUAUAACGCGAAGUCUGAUUAAGCUACGAAUCGAAUUUAAUAUAUAUAGUGCUAUUCUUUAAACUCUUAAUAAUAUAAUAUUAUUUUCUCGGUAUUUUUUUAAUCUCUCUCUCGUACGUAAAUAAUUUUGUUUUACGUAUAAUCCGACCGUCAUCAGUGGCCUCCGCCCACGUCGACGACUCCUAUCUCCAAUCGAACACACCUCCGUUCCACAUGCGUUGGUUUCGACCACAUGGCCUUCCUUCUCAGCCACGCAACGGUCGGUCACGGCCUCCUGGAGUUUGGUUUCGCCCGCCCGUCCGCCUCAUCUUUGUUGACGACGACCUCGACAGCUAAACACAUUUGCUUCAAUCACUCCCCCGCCCCGCGCCGGGCCUCGCUGUGAGCUGCGCUCCGCUGUUGGCUUCGUCCAUUUCCCGAACGCCGGCGGGCCCAACUUCCGAUCAUUUCGCGCUGUCACGAGGAGGCCACGGGGCCCCACCGCCGUCCGCCGUCUGUCCGCCGGCCCCGAACCUAAUGGUAUUGACUUCUUCGUUCUUUCAGGAAAAGUAAAAAAAAAAACCGUCUUUUGGGUUCUGUUCAAGUAACGCACAAACAAAAGUUGGAAAUCUCAGUACGCUCCCCCCAUAUUUCCUUACCAAUUUUUGUUUGUCUUUGGUUCCGUUCUUGCUUUCUUUGUUUUCCCUUUUCCCAAUAGAUUCCCGUUACAGAUAGAACCAAGCACGCAGGUCUCACCUCGUUCCCAUCGUCCACCACCAGUUCGGCCAGGCCCCGCGAAUGCUCUACCUUUCAGGCUGCACGCCGUCUCCGGUCUGACCCCAACCUACGGGUAGGAAGGAAUUUUGGGCGUAGUGGCUGGCGAGGGUCUUCUCGUCAUUUCCUCACAACCCCAGUUGAGUUAAUUAAUGAGGAUCGAUACAGACAUACACAUAUAUUCGACUCGAGUUUGGUAACACUUACAGCUCCUCGAGCCAUUCCGAGGCUUUUCAAUUUCGCAAGCUAUUUUAUUCAUUGUUAUUUACCCCGUUUCCGCUCCCCACCGCUCCCCCGCCCCUCACCCUAACCUAUGGCCUCCCCGAUCGAUUCGGUGGCGCAUCCGCUGCCUAAUUGAGGUGGAGCUCGCACGGGGAUGGCCAGAGUGCCGUCGGCAUCGACGAUCGCGGUCUUCGAUUCUUCUUCGGCCAAGGCCUCAUCGCUGCUUCUUCCGCCGCCGUGCCCCAAGGCGGACUGAUCCAUCGAACGCACGAGCCACCGAUCCCACGACCUCUGGAGAGAAAGUUGGUCUGUGGCGACUUCUGACUGGGAGGGGAGGGGAGUUCGGUCAUGGCCACCGCUGGGAAGGGUAGCUUGGAGACGAUUCGGAGGGGGUUCCGGACUGCCUUGUUCAUGGUGACGAUGGUGGCCUCGUUGCUUGUGCUAUCGGCUCCCUUGCUUGUGGCGCUCGGGGAUGUCUCCGUGUCGCUGGCGCUGGCGUCGACGUUCGCUUGCGUGAGGUGCCAUGGAUUCAGAGGGCACCUCGACGGAUACAGUUUCCGGAGCUCCUUGAUGGAUAUACCUCUUGUUUCCGUCGUCAGAUCCCUCAUAAUCACAUGUAGCGCUAUUAUUUCCUCGAUCACAUCAAUUUUCUCCCCUUUAAUCUGUCAUUUAUUCUUCAUCCCUCUGAACUAUUGCGUGCUGCGUGAUCGGACCUUUGUCUUGCCCAUUCUUCUUUCUAGUUUCUGUUUACGGCAUUUUUCUAUAGCAUAUGUUGUCUAGAUUCGACUAUCGAAAUUGUGUAGACUUUCAAAAUGAAGGUGAGCUCUCCGCCUUUUGUUUUCCUAUUCCUGCAACAACCGGGGAGACGGAGAAUAAGAAAAGCUCUGCACAAUUUUUGAAGUGACUGCUUUUUUGACCUUUUCUUCGAAUAAGAGGAAAAAGUUAGUUUUUUAUUUUUUUAUUUUCUUUCAUUCUAGUUCCCUAUUUUUCCUUUGAUGUUUUUUUUCGUUUAUCACGUUUUACUUCUUUCAGAAAUCAAUUGGCAGAAGCAAUUAGGAAAAGGAAAUGUUCUUCUGCUCAUUAGGAAUUAGAAUUUGUGUUCGAAAUCAAAUUUGUGUUACAUUUUUAUGAUGAGCGAUUCUAAGUUUGCUAUAUUUUUGUCUAGUUCUGUAUGUAAUGGGGUUAGUUCUUUUGCUUGUUCAGGAGCUUUCCCUUCCUUUAAACUUUCUUAAGACUGCAAUAUGAAUUUGGGCAAGUUACCUCAAUGUUGACCUCACCCAAUUAACCAUUUCAUUAAAUUUCAUUUUUUGUGAUGGUUAAAGAAAUAAUUAUCUCAGUGAAUUAUCUGCUUUCUGGUUAAAAUGUCACAAGAUACUGACUACAAAAAUUUUUCACCUAAAUUAGGUGUCAUAUCAAUUAAAAAGCACAAUCUUUGCAACUGAUUCCAAAGUUUUCAACAGGCCAGGUGAGGUGAACAUUUAUGUAACAAUAGUUCUGCUGAUUUAUUUUCAGUAAAGUUUUCAACUGGCCAGAUGAGGUGAGCAUUUUUGUAUGGUUCUGCUGAUUUUUCUUGAAGUAAAAUAAGUUGGCUGGUCACUUAAAAAUGUGGUGCCCUAGUGGAGUAGUUGAAUGCAUAUAUGAUUUGUGAUGAGGAAAGAAAUCAUAUCCAGUUUCUUUGAGAGUUAUUUGUCUUUGAAUCCACAGUUAUGAUCAGAGAAUGUCAUAGGCCUUUCUUAUGAUUUUUGCAGUGAUCAAUUUUGAUUUCAGCAAUGCUCCAUGCUCGUGAGAAUUUUGGAUUGUGAAUUUGUUUUCUUCAUUUUCAGGUGUGUAUUCUCUUUGUGAUAGUCCAGCCAUUUCUAGUGGACCAUUUCUUGGAACGGCAUUGCUAUGUUCCUUGGCUUCAGUUAUCAUCUUGUCAGUUAAAGCUUGUGUCUUUAGUCCUAUAUCAGAAAUUGAAACUGAUGCUUCACCCUCGUCGGUACGAGAGAGGCUUCAUUUGAAGAUAUCGUGUGGGAUGCCCAUACUUUUCCUUUCUUCAUUAGUCUUUGCACUUGGUCACACCGUGGUUGCUUAUAGAACGAGCUGUAGAGCACGGAGAAAGCUAUUGAUUCAUCGUGCAGAUCCUGAAGCGGUAUGUUUCGUAUUACAGUUAUAUGUGCAAAUGCUCAUUUGUGCUGUCUUCAGUUGUCUAUUAGCAGGUUGCCAUACCGUUUGCAUAUUGUUAAAGAUAACAAAUUUAGUGGCACUUUCUUAUGACCUUGCUUAUUUUAUCUCAGGUUCUGGCCUGCAAUGUAUUCUCUGGAUACAAGGUCCCUCGAUCUCCCACACCAUGCUCGGGGAAGUACUCAAAGUUUGAUGGUGAAAUCAAAAGAAAGGCUAUAGUUCAUCAUGAGUGUGAACUUCCAAUUAACUUUCUUGCUGAUGUGGAUAGUUUAUUCAUUACUUGCCAAGGGAUUACUGUUCAUUAUAAGAUUAGCCUUUUUGAAUCACCUAUUUCAUGGUCUUUGGCCUUGUCGCCUUCCCAUGAAUCUAGCCCUAAUGCAAGUCCUCGGGGCAUUUCAUCUGGUAGGCUUAAACUUGAGAAGCCUUUGAUACUUCCAUCUAAAACAAGUCAUCAUCUUAGUAGGAGCUUCAGUAACCAAUUUCAGAAUUCCUCCCUGUAUGCACCACUAUUGGCUGAUGCUACAAACUCAUCCAAUUUUUCUUCAGAUUCAAUACCUAGUUUUAGUCUCGAUGAUGGCUAUACUGAUGUAUGUUCAACUAAAUUCAUGAGCUUGAAACAUGGGAUUGAUGAAAGGGGCAAAGUUGCCAUAGUCUUGGUGCAUGGCUUUGGAGGAGGGGUUUUUUCGUGGAGAUAUGUGAUGAGUGCAUUGGCUAGGCAGGUUGGACUUCCAGUUGUUGCUUUUGAUAGGCCUGGUUGGGGAUUAACAACUCGCCCUCGUAGAAAGGAUUGGGAAGAUGAGCAAUUGCCAAACCCAUACAAGCUUGAAUCACAGGUGAUUCUCUUGUUCCUCACGAAGUAUAUGAAGUACUGUCAUAAGUUUCCUUCACAGAUCUAAUAAUCUGUAGUCCAUUAUAGACAUUUAAGUUCCUUAAAAGUUUAAGAAUUUUCUUUGUAUGGUUUUCGUGGAAGUGGUCUUUUUGGAGCAUUGCUCAAUCGUCUUCUUAUUACCGAUAUUGAUAACAGACAUAACUUUUAAUUUUUGAGGAUUCUUUGUCUUAUGCUAGAACUUCAAUUAGAUCCCUUUGUUUUUUUUUAUUGGAUAGGUAGAACAAUCUUUUUCCCCCCACAAUUUGUAAAUGCUUCUUCUUCAUAAUGCUUCUGAUGGAUAUUUUAUUUUCUAAGUCAGGUUAUCCGGUGCCUAAAUUACAUAUUAGUUACUAAAGAAAAAAUUCUUGUUUUUUUUUAUUUUAACUUGCAAUAUAUAAUCCAGUUGAAGAAAAUUAGUUUUAGGAUUAUCCAAUUCCUAAAGAUUUCUUGGCUUAUCAGAUGCACCUUGGUUUUUCUGCCAAUAUAUGUUUAUGUUGUAUAUAGAGGAACAAGAGCUCUUCAAAUUUCUUGCAUGUUUAUCAUUAACUAAUCAUUGAAAUUAUUUGUAGUAUUGCAUAUAUUGCAUUCAUAAUCAUGAUAUGUUGCCUUUGUAUCCCUAAUUUGCAUGACAGACAACCAGGAAUAUUGUUCUCAGGUUGGCCAUUGGCUGUUUUUUCAAAAAAAAAAUUAAUGUGAUGCUCCUGAAGCCAUGUGAAUUAGUGUUGGAGCCAUGAUGUAUUUUACAUGCAUAUUUAACUGGUUGAUUGUAGCUCUAGUGCAAAUUGGUGACAUUUCAUCUGCUGGCUCAUGCAACAAGAAGAACCACAUUUUUUAUGUUUCAUUGCAAUUCCAAAAAAGCAGACAUCAUGGUUGAAUGGCCAACUGUUCUGCUUUUACUUUGAUUAAUCAGAGCCAUGCAUGUUAUUUUUCACUUGGGCAAUCAGAUAUAUGUUAAGAAAAGCUAACCAGGGGAUGCAUCACACUUGCUUAGUCCACAUGCUUGCUGACAUACUCAAGAUCCUCUCUACUCAAAUAUUCAAUUCCACCUUGUCGAGGAAAAAACCAUGCAUCUCCUGUUUUUUAAUGGUUUUUUGGUCUUUGAUUCGGCCAGUUUUAUUUGACUGAUCUUAGAACAUUUGAAGAAGUUUUUGCAAAGUCUUGCAGGUGGAUCUUCUUAUCGCAUUUUGUUUGGAGAUGGGCUUUUCAUCUGUCAUCUUUGUUGGUCAUGAUGAUGGUGGCCUCCUUGUUCUAAAAGCAGCAGAGAAGAUCCGGGCAUCCAAUGGUUCUGCUAAUGUGAGGAACUGUCUGUAAUUUCUAUUAUUGCAAACUCUUUUGCUGUAGAGCACAUGAGAACUUUUUUUAUCUAAACAUAUAUAAUUUGUGUGUGUUUGUAUUUUCGUUAGCUUGUAUCCUAUGUUAACAUUCCAUGUAUUUGCCUCUUCUUGAUGGUCAAAUUUGAUCAAUCUUCUCAAAUUUUGGUUUGGUUUGAUGUUCCUUUUGAAAGUUCCAUGUCUAUGAAAGUCCCUUUUGUGAUUUUGAUUUUCACUUGAUGUGUGCAAUAUUUAGGUUGAAGUCAAGGGAGUGGUACUUGUUAGUGUCAGUUUAUCAAGAGAAGUUGUUCCUGCCUUUGCUCGAAUCCUCCUGCAUACUUCACUAGGGAAGAAACACUUGGUCCGCCCUUUGCUACGUACUGAAAUUACUCAAGUCAUUAACCGCCAUGCAUGGUAUGAUGCUACCAAGUUGACACCUGAAGUUACGAACCUCUAUAAGGUAUCAUCCAUAUUUCAUGCUUAAUUGUGAAUAACUUAUAUAUGUUAUGGCAUCUGUCGACUGAAUUAUUAUGGGUGGUUCCUUGCCUUUUAGAAGUUCAUGUCUCCCUCUUUUCCUUUGACAACCUUGUUCUUAGAUUCCAAAGAAUAAUGUGUUAUUCCAAAGAACAAGUGAAAAAUCCCAAAUGCAUGCUUAUCUAUGUAGUUAAACAAAACAACCAUAAGGAAAAUUCUCUCUCGCUUUUUUUUUGUCUAUCUUUUAGUUGUCAGAACUGAAUUUUUCUGGUAUUCUAUGUACUUGAUGUAAUUAUAAACUUCUGUAUGCAUGUUAUUUAGAGCCAUUGUUGGUCUAUAUGCAGGCACCGUUAUUUGUUGAAGGAUGGGAUGAAGCACUACAUGAAAUAGGGCGACUAUCCUUUGCAACAGUCCUCUCUCCACAGAAUGCAGCAGCAUUGCUGAAAUCAGUUGAAGACUUCCCAAUUCUUGUAGUAGCUGGUGCUGAGGAUGCACUCGUGCCUCUGAAGUCUUCUCAAGCUAUGGCGUCAAAGUUUGUAAAUUCGGUAGGUGGCCUGGGUUAUCCCUACUUUAGUUCUCCAUUUAGAUGUAGAAAGUUGAAUACCUUUGUUUUAAAGAAAUUUACUGCCUUUGUUUCAUGAUAAAUAAUGUUUCUCUCGAUCGAAAUGGUGCUUAAGUGAUGAUUUUCCUUAACAUAAUAGUCUUUGUACCAUAGAUAAGCAUGCUUAUCCUUUUAUACCUUUUUGAAGUUUCUUAAAGCUAUUAUAUUUAUGAGAGGCAGCAUCAAUUUACCUAUCCAAAUAAUUGCUGUAGACCAAUUAAAUAAUAAGCUUUUGAAGGUUGUCCAUAAAACUCAAAUCACCAUCUUAAUAUGUUUUGAACAAUUAAAACUUCAAAUCACCAUAUUAGUAGAUUGAUAAGCCAAAAUAAUUAUUACUUCUAAAGAAAUAAUAUAAUGAAUUUACAUUUUGUUAUGCUAUAUUUUUGUGUUAAUUGUAUGCCCUUUAUCAAGCUAUAAACUGCAGAUUUGUCAUUUCCUUUGUUGUUUUUGGGCAAGAAGUUAAAAGAAAUGGUAGCUAAUUGUAGUAUGAGAUUGAAGGGUCUAGACAUGGUAGAGAAAAAAAAUGUAGCUUUCCAUCUCAAUUGUAAAUUUUUAAUUAUCUAAAAUGGAAUUCUUGAGUUAAUCAUUUGUUUCAUUAAUAUUUCUUUUUGACAAUAAUUAAAUGCUUACUUGAGAUGUAAAAUCUAAAUAGUAUUUCGAAAUAACAGUGUUUAGUGCAUGGGCCUAUAACUAAUGAAGUAUGGUGAUGCACUGCAGUUAGCUUUUAAAUCCUGAACUAGUUCUUAUUGGAAAUAUUGUUCUAGAAAGAGAAUCGAACAUUUUCUUUUUUGAUGUUCUUGAGAGCCACUUCCUUGUAACAUUCCGUGUCCCAAUAUGAUGCAAUGGAAAAUUUUAUUGGUUGGAUCUACACAUUCUCGUAUCAUGCCUAUCUGGUUUGCAAGUUCAGGUAGAAAAGAAAAACAAAAAAAAGAAACUGGUACAUCAGGGAACACCUAACAGACCUAUCUUUUAUGGCAAUUUGUCUGCAAUUGGAUAUAUAAGGAAUUGCUCAUUUGUUAGGCAAUUUCUUUUGCGCCAUGAACUGUUUUGUGGGCUUUUGAACGAUUUUCAGACAGUUUGGUUAAUUCCCUUUUCCUCUUUGGUGCUGCUUUGCAGAG